rnacentral:rRNA from 1 species
GACGAACGCUGGCGGCGUGCCUAAUACAUGCAAGUCGAGCGGACUUUAAAAGCUUGCUUUUAAAGUUAGCGGCGGACGGGUGAGUAACACGUGGGCAACCUGCCUGUAAGACUGGGAUAACUUCGGGAAACCGGAGCUAAUACCGGAUAAUCCUUUUCUACUCAUGUAGAAAAGCUGAAAGACGGCAUCUCGCUGUCACUUACAGAUGGGCCCGCGGCGCAUUAGCUAGUUGGUGAGGUAACGGCUCACCAAGGCAACGAUGCGUAGCCGACCUGAGAGGGUGAUCGGCCACACUGGGACUGAGACACGGCCCAGACUCCUACGGGAGGCAGCAGUAGGGAAUCUUCCGCAAUGGACGAAAGUCUGACGGAGCAACGCCGCGUGAGUGAUGAAGGUUUUCGGAUCGUAAAACUCUGUUGUUAGGGAAGGACAAGUACAAGAGUAACUGCUUUACCUUGACGUACCUAACCAGA